UUAGGGCCACUCAGUGGACCCCUCAGUACACAGCACAGCACAGCAGUCAUACGAGGUGGUACAGGAAGAGGAUGAUGUGUGUACGGGUUACCAGGAAACAGAGGUGUGACUUAAGAAGAACAGCAUAUGCAGCCAUGAAAACACACCACAGAUGAUCGUUCCUAAAGUCAGCCAUGAAAGACAACAAGAUGAUCACACUCUUCUACAUAACCUUUAAUAUCGUACUGGUCUCAGGUUCCUCUCUCAGUCACAAAGUCCAGCAGAGUCCAGCUAACAUUUACAAGCAACCAGCAGAAACAGCCAAAAUCAGCUGUUCACACAGUAUUGACAACUACAAUGUAAUCCUCUGGUACAAGCAGAUAAAUAACACACAGCUUCAGCUCCUGGGAUACAUGGUAGUUAACAUGGAAAACCCAGAGCCUGGAUCUGGUGUGAAAAUGGACGGGAGCGCGAAUAAAGAUCAGACGUGCACAUUAACAAUCGAAGGACUGAACCUGAGCAGCAGUGCAGUGUAUUUCUGUGCUGCUAGUUUACACAGUGAAACACAUCAUCUGCUCCUCAGUACAAAAACCUGCACAUGAGGUUCUUUCAUCAGCUGCCAGCCCCUUACACACGCACCCUCCUCUCAUUAGGUGGCAGUAUUUGUACUUUCUGUUACUCUGAACUAUAGCGAGAGUUGAUAUGACAGUUAUAAAGUUGAGAGAAGAGGGAGUUGACUGAUGCAGGAGGUGUAACUGCUGAUGGACUGAAGAAAACACAAUGAUCCACUGCAACAAGGUUUAUCCAAACAGCCAGAGAACACAAAAUGAUUGUCCUAUUUUAUUUCAUCUUCAGCGCGACUUUAAACAAUAUUUUGGUUUCAGGUUCCUCUCUCAGUCACAAAGUCCAGCAGAGUCCAGCUAACAUUUACAAGCAACCAGCAGAAACAGCCAAAAUCAGCUGUUCACACAGUAUUGAAGGCUACAAUCAAAUCUUCUGGUACAAGCAGAUAAAUAACACACAGCUUCAGCUCCUAGGAUACAUGUUUGGAAACAAGGAAUACCCAGAGACUGGAUCUGGUGUGAAAAUGGACGGAGCGCGAAUAAAGAUCAGACGUGCACAUUAACAAU